UUCAUUUUUGUCACUAAUUUCAUUAUUAUGAAAGUUUUCUUACUUGCUGUCCCGAGUUCUUUCUAUCUCUCUUUCAUAAAGCAGAGAAGCUCUGCAGAGGUUAAUGAGUAACUAAUUUCAGUCAACUCUGGGCUGUACUUGGACUUAAAAUUGCUCUUAUCCAGAGCCUCAAUUCUUUUCUCUUUCAUCAAAGGCGUAUCACCAGAAUACUUAGUAAUUGUUACUGGAAAGUCUAAGGUCAGAUGGCUGCAAUUCAAAUAAUUACCUACAGAUCUGAGACUUGGAUUGCAUUAAUUAUUUAUUAGUUAGAUGGACAACUGCAGGAAUGGCCUGCCAAGCAUAAUUGAGCUCCUGAGGUUUACAGAUUUUAUCACUUCACCUUUCAGAAGAAGCAGUAGCUGUUAGCUGUGAAGCUGAAGACAUUGCUUCUUCCGUCUGCUAAGAGCUCAGUGUCUGUGCGUGAUGGGGGGCACAGGAGGGGUACAAGGCAUGAAGAGUUGCUGCAAAACUCCACGUGGUUCUGGGAGCCCUGGGAAAAGGCAUUUGAGAAAACUCUCUUUGGUGUGAUGUAGGUGAACUAAAGCUCUCUGGCUGGCAGGAUGCAACUGGAAGAAUUUGCAGAAGGAAGCCUGGCUCCAGCAGUGCUCUCUGGAGACAGCAGAGGAGGAAAGAAGGGCUGUGUCUCACUGGGUUGUUGAAGUGACUCUGCAGGCACAUUUUUCAGGCUACAAAGGAAAGGAUGUCAGAGAGCUGAGAUGUGUUCCUUCCUGCUACAAAAUCGUCUUGUCUGUUUUCCAAGGGUUGGACCACAAUUUUUAUUUUAUUGGACAGUCUCAUAGUGUGAUCUCCUUAGCAAAACUGUUGAUGAAAAUCCGUUUUUCUUCAUUUUGGUCCCCACAGGUAUCUACUCUCAGGACCAGGAAUGCUAAUUGAGGUCCUAAAUGGAAGCACAGCUCGUAACAGUGAUCCAUACCAGAUGGAUUCAUUUCUUUGGUGGCUCAGUAAUGAUAAUAUUACUUCUAUAGACCAUAUCACGAACAUGCUACCAGAUCUACAAGCAACAACAUUCAGUAAUUUUUACUAUAUUUGAUGGUUUUUCACCUUAGCACAGUUCCUAACUCCAGCGAUUCUCAUAAAUUAAAGUUAAUGGUGUACUUGGAGCAACGACACAUGCCGUAUCUUCACUUAUCAAAUGCAACACCUUUGGAAUUAAGGUGUGCAUUUUGAAGGCUUUCCAAGCACAUUUGCUUGUCUUGCUUAAGUGCUGCUGCUUCAAAAAAUAAAUGAUUAAUUACUAAUUUUAAAAUGUUCAUGAUUGCCAUCGUUCUGCUAGCUGUGGUUAAUAAUGAUGAGUAAUCAUGAGAUAAUCAAAUCUGACUGUUUCAGUAGAAACUUUGCGUAAGGAACAAUAGCUUUUUUCAUUUUAUAUUUUGCUCAGAUGAAAACAAAAUUGAGCUGAUGCCCUUUAAAAAAUUAUUGGGGAGGGUCAAAUGUUUAAAACCAUUGUAUUCUCUGUAUGCUAUGCUUGUUAGGCUAAACACGUACUUCUGCCCUGACUAUUGAUUAGAUUACCACAUACUACUUAGACAUUGAACAUGCAGGAAUUUCCUCUCAGAUUUACACAAAGUGAGUGAUUUACACCAGUUUUCAAAGAAGGCCCUAAAAUAAUUGUAAAGGAGCAAACAUGAAUUUGCUGCAAAUGAAGCACUUCUGCCACAAGUGUGCAGGUGUAACUAAAGUAUGGCUUUUAAAAUAACAUUCCAUGUCAAGGGACAUUUCAUGCCUGAAGUCAACAGUGGCUGUCAGCAGGUGGCAAACUUGUCCUCUGGGCUGGAGCAGUGCAAGUAAUUGGCUUUCUUUGCAAAGAAAGGAAAAAAACGAUGGCUUUGCAAAAAAAAAAAAAAAAAAAAAUUAAAUAUAUUAAAUAUAUAUAUAUAUACACUUAUAUCUAAUAGGUGACCUAAGAUUUAAUGCUGUAUUUCUUUUUUAGAUUCCUUAAUCAUCUUUUAAUAAAAUGGCAGCAGCUUUUGAAAUAAAACUGUCACUUUUGAGCAUGUCAAAAAUCUAGAAGAUUUAAAAUAAAUAUUCUUAGGUGAGACAAUUUGCUGAGCCUGCAUGUUUUCUCACUAACUAAAACUAGUUUUCAGUUUCUGCAUUUCAUUAACCUCCAGAAAGCUUACUCGAUUCUAUUAUGGAAUUUCAUAUCAGUGUAACUCUUCAGAGGUGGCAACACAUCGGUACUUGAAACAACAGCAAAAACAAGUAAAUAAUUAGUCAUUUUGACUAUGACUGUGGGUUGUCAUCACUUUCUUCGGUGAUUUUUAACUGCUUCUUAACAAGAAAGAUGAUUGAAGCAGCGUUGUGAAAUAGAGAUAAGAUGCUUGAAUGAUGUGACUGAAUUGAAAGCUGAUUCUUUCCAGUAUUUGUGCUAGAAAUGUCUUUGGUGUGACUUGGGGAGUAUAACAGAAUGUGUGCUGUUCAGUAUUUGUGUUUUAAGCUGAGAAUGCGUUUCCCCGCUUAUUCAGGAAAACAACCGAAUCAACCGUAUGCUGUACACAACUAUAAUACCAGCUUAAGAAAUCUGGAAUUUCUGAUAAGCCAAUUCUCAGAGUGUGUCCAAAUCUGUAGAACAAUAAUAACAGAUAUUUUGCUGCAUGGCCAUGUUUCAGAAGUACAUGAGCCAUUUCUGAAGUUGUCCCUGAAGUAUUUGAAAACAAAUAUUUUAGUUGGGGUACUCACUUUAUUCCAGCUGUUAUCUGAUUUUUUUCAGUUAAAUAAAAUGUGACAGAUGUA